rnacentral:rRNA from 1 species
GACGAACCGUGCGAACGUUGUUCGGAAUAACUGGGCUUAAAGGGUGCGUAGGCGGGCUCAAAAGUCAGGGGUGAAAUCCCACGGCUCAACCGUGGAAGUGCCUUUGAUACUGUGAGUCUAGAGGGAGGUAGGGGCGUGCGGAACUUCCGGUGGAGCGGUGAAAUGCGUAGAUAUCGGAAGGAACACCGGUGGCGAAAGCGGCGCGCUGGACCUCAACUGACGCUGAGGCACGAAAGCCAGGGGAGCAAACGGG